rnacentral:rRNA from 1 species
UACGUAGGGGGCCAGCGUUGUCCGGAAUCAUUGGGCGUAAAGGGUGCGUAGGCGGCGCGGUAAGUCGGGUGUGAAAUCUCGGAGCUUAACUCCGAAACUGCAUUCGAUACUGCCGUGCUUGAGGACUGGAGAGGAGACUGGAAUUUACGGUGUAGCGGUGAAAUGCGUAGAUAUCGUAAGGAAGACCAGUGGCGAAGGCGGGUCUCUGGACAGUUCCUGACGCUGAGGCACGAAGGUCAGGGAGCAAACGGG